rnacentral:rRNA from 1 species
AGCUAGUUGGUGGGGUAAAAGCUCACCAAGGCGACGAUCUGUAGCGGGUCUGAGAGGAUGAUCCGCCACACUGGAACUGAGACACGGUCCAGACUCCUACGGGAGGCAGCAGUGGGGAAUUUUGGACAAUGGGGGCAACCCUGGUCCAGCCAUGCCGCGUGAGUGAAGAAGGCCUUCGGGUUGUAAAGCUCUUUCGGCCGGGAAGAAAUCGUAUCAGCUAAUACCUGGUGCGGAUGACGGUACCGGCAUAAGAAGCACCGGCUAACUACGUGCCAGCAGCCGCGGUAAUACGUAGGGUGCGAGCGUUAAUCGGAAUUACUGGGCGUAAAGCGUGCGCAGGCGGUUUUGUAGGACAGGCGUGAAAUCCCCGGGCUCAACCUGGGAACUGCGUCUGUGACUGCAAGGCUAGAGUACGGCAGAGGGGGGUGGAAUUCCACGUGUAGCAGUGAAAUGCGUAGAGAUGUGGAGGAACACCAAUGGCGAAGGCAGCCCCCUGGGUCGAUACUGACGCUCAUGCACGAAAGCGUGGGUAGCAAACAGGAUUAGAUACCCUGGUAGUCCACGCCCUAAACGAUGUCAACUAGGUGUUGGGAGGGUAGAACCUUUUAGUACCGGAGCUAACGCGUGAAGUUGACCGCCUGGGGAGUACGGCGGCAAGGUUAAAACUCAAAGGAAUUGACGGGGACCCGCACAAGCGGUGGAUGAUGUGGAUUAAUUCGAUGCAACGCGAAAAACCUUACCUACCCUUGACAUGUCAGGAACUUUCCAGAGAUGGAUUGGUGCUCGAAAGAGAACCUGAACACAGGUGCUGCAUGGCUGUCGUCAGCUCGUGUCGUGAGAUGUUGGGUUAAGUCCCGCAACGAGCGCAACCCUUGUCGUUAAUUGCCAUCAUUUAGUUGGGCACUUUAACGAGACUGCCGGUGACAAACCGGAGGAAGGUGGGGAUGACGUCAAGUCCUCAUGGCCCUUAUGGGUAGGGCUUCACACGUCAUACAAUGGUCGGUACAAAGGGUCGCCAAGCCGCGAGGUGGAGCUAAUCCCAGAAAGCCGAUCGUAGUCCGGACUGCAGGCUGCAACUCGCCUGCAUGAAGUCGGAAUCGCUAGUAAUCGUGGAUCAGCAUGUCACGGUGAAUACGUUCCCGGGUCUUGUACACACCGCCCGUCACACCAUGGGAGCGGGUUCCGCCAGAAGUAGGUAGCCUAACCGCAAGGAGGGCGCUUACCACGGCGGGGUUCGUGACUGGGGUGAAGUCGUAACAAGGUAGCCGUAGGGGAACCUGCGGCUG